GGCGCACGGGUGCGCAACGCGUAUAGAACCUACCCUGUACAGGGGGAUAGCCCGGAGAAAUCCGGAUUAAUACCUCGUGGUAAUUAGAAUCGGCAUCGGUUUUAAUUUAAAGUUUCGGCGGUACAGGAUGGCUAUGCGUCCUAUUAGUUAGAUGGUGAGGUAACGGCUCACCAAGGCAACGACGGGUAACUGGUCUGAGAGGAUGAUCAGUCACACUGGGACUGAGACACGGCCCAG
rnacentral:rRNA from 1 species